CUUGGGGUAUAUUGUUAACCAAAGAGGAAUUGAAGCCAAUCCAGUAAAGAUAACGACCUUGCUGGAAAUGAGAUCACCUCAGAACCAAAGGAGGUCCAAAGCCUCAAUGGUCAAAUAGCCGCAUUCAGUCACUUUAUCUCCAGGGCCACUGAUAAGAACUUACCCUUCUUCAAGGUACUUAAGCAAGGAAAGAAGUUCCAAUGGGCUUCUGAGUGCGAAGAAGCCUUCCAGGGGCUGAAAAAGCACCUCGAAGAGGCACCUCUUUUGUCAAAACCUCAACUAAAGGAGUCUCUGCUGCUGUAUUUGACAGUAUCGGACGUGGCGGUUAGCGCUGUUCUAGUCAGAGAAGAAAAUGAGCGAUAGUUGCCAGUAUACUACAUUAGCAAAUCACUCCUCCCAGCUGAAACAUGAUACCCAGACAUAGAGAAAUUGGCACUUACCCUCAUCACAGCCUCAAGGAAACUGAGGCCAUACUUCCAGGCCCACUCGAUUGACGUUCUUACCAACUUCCCAUUGAAGCAGGUGCUGUAGAGAACAGAUGCAUCAGGGCGCCUACUAAAAUGGGCAAUCGAGCUGAGCGAGUUCCACAUAUUAUUUUGACCUCGGCGUGCUAUAAAGGGCCAGGCCCUUGCAGAUUUUGUGGUUGAGUUUGCCGAAGCCUCGAAAAUGGAGGCAAUAAUGGAACUAGCCAAACCCCCAACCUGAAAAUUGUUCGUAGAUGGAUCCUCAGGAGAGGCAGGCUCCGGGGCAGGAAUAGUUUUGGAAAGCCUAGAGGGUCACAAGCUAAAUUGCACAGUAAGGUUUAGCUUCAAAGCCUCGAACAACGCUGUCGAAUACAAAACCCUUCUAGCGAGCCUUAGACUGGCAAGAGAAAUGCAGGUCAGAAAGUUGAUGGCCAGCAGUGAUUCUCAGCUGAUAGUGAAUCAUGUCAGUGGAAGCUUUGCGGCCAAAGACAACGGCAUGGUCGCAUAUUUGAAAUUGGUUCUGGACCUAGUCCCCCAGUUUGAAAGGUUUGAACUAAUUCAAGUCCCACGCCUAGAGAAUGCACAUACAGACACCUUCUCAAAAUUGGCCAAUAGCAAGGAUUCUGAGUUAUUAAAAGUUGUCCCUAUUGAACACUUGGCGAAGCCUUCCAUUUUCGGAAGAGAAGAGGUACUUUGGAUAGAAGGCACCCCAUUAUGGAUGCAAC
rnacentral:lncRNA from 1 species